rnacentral:tRNA from 1 species
GGAGGCAUAGCUCAGCUGGUCAGAGCGCUCGCCUCACACGCGAGAGGUCACUGGUUCGAGCCCAGUUGUCUCCACCA